CUUUGUCUUCUGACUCAGAGGUUUUGCUUCAGAUUGAUGGUGUUACAGAAGACAAACUGGAAAAGUAUGGUGCAGAAAUAAUUCAAGUCAUGCAAAAGUACUCUGAAUGGACAUUGUCAGAAGACACUGACUCUUACCAAAAUGCGGGCACGGAUGCUGGAAAACGUGAGCAUGAGAUGGUAGAGGACACACAUACAACUUCUAGCUAUUUUUGCAAUAGCACAAACAAAGG